CCGCCCAUGUGUGUGACCAGGCUUUCAUAGUCACGGGUCACCUAGCAUCCACUCCAGGAGGAAGCCAUUUAGGAAAGGAUGUGGUGGAUCUGCAAAUCUCAGUCGGCUCUGAGACCCCUGGACUGUGUGCGGACUCCUGAGAGAGAGAGCCGUGUGGAGUCCAGAUGACAGAAAGAGAAUCCAAACACAGAGGGUGACAUCCAGAUAAUGCAAAGCCAACUUGAAAGGGCCAGAGUGCGACGGAAUGGGAAGAAAUGGAUGGGGGCAGGAGCCUGGAUCCUGCUGCAGGCCCCUCCCCAGGCCCACUGCUCUCUGAGCCUACCUGACUUUACUUCCAGGAAUGGGGGCCUGGUUCAGGAGGCUCAGCCCCCAGCAUCUGCUGUGAUCACUGCAAGGACAGGUGUGGACUCCCUAGUUACACUUGUUAAGGAACGUGGUGUGUCUACGAAUCCAAGUCCUGGGGCCAGCAAUGGGCAGAUGCUCAGUAAGAACGGUGCAGAGAAUGAGGGACGCACAGGCAGAGCCCUAGAGCCACCCUGGUGCCCUGACCAGGUGUGCCCAGCACACAGCAGCCCCUGCACAUGAGUUUGAGGCCAUCAGACUGCUCAUGGGCUUGUGGCAUGGCCUUUGACUAGGGCUUUGCGAGGCCCACUGUGUGCUCCGCAGCCAGGCAAGCCGGGGACACUCCAGGGCAGGGGGAGGCCUGCCAGGGAGGGACCUGCCUCAGAUGCUGUGCCUGGCACACCGCUGUUACCAUGAGCCCCUCCGGAGGAGCAGGGCUGGGCACAGAGGGGAGCUGGGCAGGAUGUCUGAGGAGCCUGGCUGGUCUGCAGACCACACGCCUCCUUCCCGGAGCACCAGGCUGAGCGCCCCAGGCCCCAGGGAGGCAGAGUGCUGGAGUGAGGAGGGAGUGGAGCCAGCACCCCCAGAGCACGGGGCACUGCCCGUGGCCAUGGCACAGAGGUCCUGCUGGCAGCCGCCUGGCUCCCGGCAUCUCCAGAGCAGACGCUGCCCCUCGGAAGGUGAGGGCGGCCUCGAUCAGACAAGAUGACUGCACCCAGCACACCAUCACCAUGACAAGUCUUGGUUAAAUAUGUUGAAACAUCCGACAGCUCCGGGGGAGGCGUCUUCUAUGAAUCAGAUCCUUUUUCCAAAGUCCUCAUGCUGGGAAUAGAACACUCUCCUGAAAGCUCUGUCCCAGUGCUGCUGAAAUAGGAACCUCCGGAACAGGUCACUGCACACAGCAUCUGGUGCUGCUGUGACCAGCGGUGCCAGGUGACCUCCAGCUGCACAGCUGCACAGGGGCAUGGUGGGUUCCGGCUGUGGUUGGGGCUGCCAUGUGGGGCGAGGUGCAGGUGUACCGGCUGGGAGGAGGGAAGGGUGGCUCUCCUGCCCUUCUUCCCCGCCCAUCACCACCUUCUGCAUCUCCGAGUCUCCCUGUCACACAGGUGGUCCCUGACCUCUGGUGGUUCUGGUAUGAUUCGUGGUUUUCUGCUGGUGUGCGAGUCACACAACCA